GACGAACGCUGGCGGCGUGCCCAAUACAUGCAAGUCGAGCGGACAGAAGGGAGCUUGCUCCCGGAAGUUAGCGGCGGACGGGUGAGUAACACGUGGGCAACCUACCCUGUAGAUCGGGAUAACAUCGAGAAAUCGGUGCUAAUACCGGAUAAUCAUUUGAAGUGCAUGCUUCGAAUGUAAAAGAUGGCUCCGGCUAUCACUACGGGAUGGGCCCGCGGCGCAUUAGCUGGUUGGUAAGGUAAUGGCUUACCAAGGCAACGAUGCGUAGCCGACCUGAGAGGGUGAUCGGCCACACUGGGACUGAGACACGGCCCAGACUCCUACGGGAGGCAGCAGUAGGGAAUCUUCCGCAAUGGACGAAAGUCUGACGGAGCAACGCCGCGUGAGUGAUGAAGGUUUUCGGAUCGUAAAGCUCUGUUGUUAGGGAAGAACAAGUGCCGUUUGAAUAAGGCGGCACCUCGACGGUACCUAACCAGAAAGCCACGGCUAACUACGUGCCAGCCGCCGCCGUAAAAC
rnacentral:rRNA from 1 species